rnacentral:rRNA from 1 species
UCAUACGCGUGUGUGAAGAAGGCCUGAGGGUUGUAAAGCACUUUCAAUAGGAAGGAAUACCUAUCGGUUAAUACCCGGUAGACUGACAUUACCUAUACAAGAAGCACCGGCUAACUCCGUGCCAGCAGCCGCGGUAAUACGGAGGGUGCAAGCGUUAAUCGGAAUUACUGGGCGUAAAGCGUGCGUAGGCGGUUAUUUAAGUCAGAUGUGAAAGCCCUGGGCUUAACCUGGGAACUGCAUUUGAUACUGGAUGACUAGAGUUGAGUAGAGGAGAGUGGAAUUUCAGGUGUAGCGGUGAAAUUGCGUAGAGAUCUGAAGGAACACCAGUGGCGAAGGCGGCUCUCUGGACUCAAACUUGACGCUGAGGUACGAAAGCGUGGGUAGCAAACAGGAUUAGAUACCCUGGUAGUCCACGCC